GACGAACGCUGGCGGCGUGCUUAACACAUGCAAGUCGAGCGGUAAGGCCUUUCGGGGUACACGAGCGGCGAACGGGUGAGUAACACGUGGGUGAUCUGCCCUGCACUUCGGGAUAAGCCUGGGAAACUGGGUCUAAUACCGGAUAUGACCUCCUAUCGCAUGGUGGGUGGUGGAAAGAUUUAUCGGUGCAGGAUGGGCCCGCGGCCUAUCAGCUUGUUGGUGGGGUAAUGGCCUACCAAGGCGACGACGGGUAGCCGACCUGAGAGGGUGACCGGCCACACUGGGACUGAGACACGGCCCAGACUCCUACGGGAGGCAGCAGUGGGGAAUAUUGCACAUUGGGCGAAAGCCUGAUGCAGCGACGCCGCGUGAGGGAUGACGGCCUUCGGGUUGUAAACCUCUUUCAGCAGGGACGAAGCGCAAGUGACGGUACCUGCAGAAGAAGCACCGGCUAACUACGUG
rnacentral:rRNA from 1 species